rnacentral:rRNA from 1 species
AUAAGGGCACAUGGUGGAUGCCUAGGCUCUCGGAGGCGAUGAAGGACGUGAUAAGCUGCGAAAAGCCGCGGUGAGGUGCAAAUGACCUUUGACCCGCGGAUCUCCGAAUGGGACAACCCGGUGUCCUGAAGGGACAUCAUCUGUCAAUGACAGAGGCUAACGCAGGGAACUGAAACAUCUUAGUACCUGCAGGAAAAGAAAAUAAGAAUGAUUCCCCCAGUAGUGGCGAGCGAACGGGGAAGAGCCCAAACCGCGGGUGUUACGGCAUCCGCGGGGUUGUAGGACCACGAGAUUGCAAGACAAAGGCGAGGGGAAGGCGCUGGAAAGCGCCGCCAUAGAGCAUGAAAGCUGCGUACCCGAAACCGAUGGAAGCAUAGUGGUAUCCUGAGUAUCGCGGGACACGAGGAAUCCUGCGAGAAUCCGCCGGGACCAUCCGGCAAGGCUAAAUACUCCCGAGAGACCGAUAGUGAACCAGUACCGUGAGGGAAAGGUGAAAAGUACCCCGCACAGGGGAGUGAAACAGACCCUGAACCCAUGUGCCUACAAGCGGUCGGAGCACCGAAAGGUGUGACGGCGUGCCUUUUGCAUAAUGAACCUACGAGUUGCCGUUGCCGGCAAGGUUAAGCGCGAGAACGCGCGUAGGGCGUCCAGUCGGCAGUGGCAGACGCGAAACCAAGUGAUCUACCCUUGUCCAGGAUGAAGUCUGGGUAACACCAGAUGGAGGUCCGCACCAAUAAGCGUUGAAAAGCUUCUGGAUGAGAUGAGGGUAGGGGUGAAAGGCUAAUCAAACUUGGAGAUAGCUCGUACUCCCCGAAAUGCAUUUAGGUGCAGCCUGCGUGAUUACCGGCAUGAGGUAGAGCGACUGAUAAGAUGCGAGGGCUUCGCCGCCUAUCAAGUCUUGACAAACUCCGAAUGCUUGCCGGUUUGACACGUGGAGUGAGGGGCCGGGUGCUAAGGUCCGGUCCCGAGAGGAGAAGAAUCCUGACCAUCGUCUAAGGUCCCGAAAUGACGGCUGAGUUAGUCAAACGAAGUAGGAUUGCCGUGACAGCUAGGAUGUUGGCUUGGAAGCAGCCAUUCAUUUAAAGAGUGCGUAACAGCUCACUAGUCGAGGAAUCCUGCGUGGAUAAUAAUCGGGUAUAAGCCGUCUGCCGAAGACGUGGAAUCUCUAGAGAGAUUGGUAGGGGAGCAUUCCAUUCAGCGUUGAAGGCGCACCGCGAGGUGCUCUGGAGCGUAUGGAAAAGCAAAUGUAGGUAUAAGUAACGAUAAAGGGGGUGGGAUGCCCCCUCGCCGUAAGACUAAGGUUUCCUGAUCAACGCUAAUCGGAUCAGGGUAAGUCGGGUCCUAAGGCACAGCCGAACGGCGCAGCCGAUGGAAGAAACGGUUAAGAUUCCGUUACUGCCGCACGGAGUGACGCGGGGACGGAGGAGUGACAGUGCCGCCGCCUGACGGAAUAGGCGGUUGAAGGGUGUAGGCGUUGAUUGCCGCAGGCAAAUCCACGGCAAGAGCCGAACCUGAGAGUAUGGGGCGUUCCCCGGAACAACCCAAUAGUGCACGUAAACAGACUCCCGAGAAAAUCCGCUAAACAUAAUCCGUGUGGCACCCGUACCGCAAACGGACACACGUAGUCGGGUAGAGCAUACCAAGGCGCUUGAGUGAAUCACGGUUAAGGAACUAGGCAAACUGACCCUGUAACUUCGGGAUAAAGGGUCCUCACAGCAAUGUGAGGCGCAGAGAAUCGGUCCAGGCAACUGUUUACCAAAAACACAGGGCUGUGCGAAUUCGCAAGAAGCAGUAUACAGCCUGACACCUGCCCGGUGCCGGAAGGUUAAGAGGAGAUGUCACCGCAAGGGAAGCAUUGAAUUGAAGCCCCGGUAAACGGCGGCCGUAACUAUAACGGUCCUAAGGUAGCGAAAUUCCUUGUCGGGUAAGUUCCGACCUGCACGAAUGGUGUAAUGAUCUGGACGCUGUCUCAACCGUGAGCUCAGUGAAAUUGUAGUAUCGGUGAAGAUGCCGAUUACCCGCGAUGGGACGAAAAGACCCCGUGAACCUUUACUAUAGCUUAGCAUUGGGGCCGGGCACGUGAUGUGUAGGAUAGGUCGGAGGCUAUGAAUCUGUGACGCCAGUCAUGGUGGAGCCGCUGUUGAAAUACGACCCUUCAUUUGUCUGGUCCCUAACGCGCAGCGCGCGGACAUUGCUUGGUGGGUAGUUUGACUGGGGUGGUCGCCUCCAAAAGCGUAACGGAGGCUUCUAAAGGUGCCCUCAGGACGAUCGGUAACCGUCCGCAGAGUGUAAUGGCAUAAGGGCGCUUGACUGUGAGACAGACAGGUCGAGCAGGUAGGAAACUAGAGCAUAGUGAUCCGGUGUUUCCGUAUGGAAGGGACAUCGCUCAAAGGAUAAAAGGUACUCCGGGGAUAACAGGCUGAUCCCUCCCAAGAGCUCAUAUCGACGGAGUGGUUUGGCACCUCGAUGUCGGCUCGUCACAUCCUGGGGCUGGAGAAGGUCCCAAGGGUUGGGCUGUUCGCCCAUUAAAGUGGCACGCGAGCUGGGUUCAGAACGUCGUGAGACAGUUCGGUCUCUAUCUAUCGUGGGCGCAGGAAAUUUGCGUGGCUCUGACACUAGUACGAGAGGACCGUGUUGGACAGACCUCUGGUCUACCGGUUGUGCCGCCAGGCGCACCGCCGGGUAUCCACGUCUGGAUCGGAUAAGCGCUGAAAGCAUCUAAGUGCGAAGCCGGCCACAAGAUUAGAUUUCCUUACGAGGGUCGUCACAGACGAUGACGUUGAUAGGAUGCAGGUGUAUAGAUGGCGACAUCACAGCCGAGCAUUACUAAUUGCCCGAAACUUCCUUCC